CUGAGGCUUAAUUAACAGACGACAUGCCCAUCCAUCACAUUUUUACAGGCGUCACACUCAAAACAGGCAGCAGCACCCUCCAUUCAACGGAGCAUACUACACCAACUGGUAUGCGUCAAAAGUAUGCUUAUCACUGAGGGUUGUGGUCAGGUGUGGAUUCUAGGACAGCAUUAUCAACAACAGGUGUCUUACCUUUGCUCCAGUGCGAAGCAGUGGUCAAGUAGAGAUUGCAGUAAAAGACAGAGAUGACCAGAAGCCUGACAGGUAGCACCCUGCCCAGCCUGGUCCCCUCCAUUCCUCUCUCUCUCCUUGCCUUACUGAGCUCUGGGUUCUGGUUCAGCUUUACAAAGCACUUAUGAGGGCCAAAGGUGCUGAACAGCAGCGGCGUGUCAAGCCCUCCAGGAAGACUACAGACAACUUACAGACUCCACCAACUCAGCAAUCUUCUGGCCUUUCUCAUUCUGUUUCUCUCUCUUCCUCCCUCUCUCUCUCUCUCUCUCUGAUACAAACAUGCUCACACACACACACACACGCCUCCUCAUGCGUGUGUGUGGAGUUGUGUCUCUGGCUGGUGUCUCGGCUUUCAUCUGGAAGUCAUUAGGACCCAGGGAGCCGCUCCUCCCGUCCUGGCAGCCCACAGCCGCAUCAGCUGCCUCAGAGCCCCUGGCCAGCACUUCAGAAAAAAACAGAUUCAUGAUGGCCUUUCUCUCUGAACGUAUACCAGCAUUCAGCGCUUUCAGCUCUCUGCCAGGGAAUAUACUGUCUGCUGUGCUGCUGCCAUGUUGUGAAGGAAUUCUCUCAGCGCUUUGCUUGGCUUGGCAUGCACACAUAGGCAGCAGACGCGAGCAACUGGAAGAAAAUGGAAAUAGAUUUGGAGUCACAUGAGCCUAUUCAUCAAGCUUUUGUGUUUUCAGAGAGCUUUUAGAUCUCCUCGUCUGUCAGCCUUUUCUCCUGAAAGGCGAACGGUCCCAAGAUUUUCAGUCCUACAGCCAAGACUACCAUUUUUAAAUCAUUGCCCUCCCUCCAGUCAAAGGCAAAGGAAUAAUACAAAUCUCGUGAGUACACUGGACGUGGAGCAGAUGGCUGGAUCAACGUGUGUCCAGCUGCAUGAGUAAUGAUACAUACCUCUGUCACUAAUACCUCAUCAGGACCACAAAUCCAUUUGAAACCAUGGGUGCCUUGACAGGUCUACUUUGAAACAUACAAAGUAGCAACCCCAGUGGCAGUGGAGGGAAAAUGGACCUGAAAGUUGAUGAUACAUACCUGGUUUUUAUUACAAAAUAACCUCGAGAGCCUCAGUUGGCUUCAGUUCCUAUCCAGAUGGUACCCCUUGAAGACCCUUUUACUCUAAUUGCAUAUGAUGCUUGGAUGUAGAUGGAGUGUAAAAUUGCUGGUAUUGAUACUCUGAAUGAGAGCUAUCAAAAGAAUUGUUAAUGACAUAGGCCUCCUAUCUAAGUCUAUUGAUCGUAAGAUGAAUUGAAGCAGGGAGGCCUCAUUAUUUGGAUAAUGUUUGAUGUGGUACAGAUACCAUAAACCACACAGAAAUAAGGGCAGAAUGAAGCAAGAGAGGCUCAUGUUUUCAUUAUUCAUGUGGGUCUGAUAUUUUAUAAUUGCGGUGUUAACUCACCCCUGCGUGCCCCUGUCUGCUUGGUGUUCUAAGAGAGAUUAAAGCAAAUGAGAAAGAGAAAAAAGACUUUGUAUUAUCUCCUGCUCAGCUCUUAUUUCUGAAUUAUUUGUAUCUAGGGAGUGUCAUUGUUAUGACUUGAA